AAAACUAUACUUUUAGGGACAUUUCUAUGGUAUGUUACUAGAGAAGUGUUUCUGAAUGUGUAGGGUACUAGAAACCAUGAUGAUGAUUUUCACGAAAAAAUGUUUUCUUUUGAGCAUGAGGCUGGCUUGUGGUGUUCCCUGGUGAUAGCCGCUACUUUCCUCGAGGACUGUUCUCUUUUCCUUUGGGAAAGUGAGAGGCAGAGGACACAGGCUGAGUGGU